rnacentral:lncRNA from 1 species
CAUUUGCACAGUGGUGCCUUACAGGGUUACAACGAGAGGUUUCUGUGCCUUGUUAGUUGUUGUCUGCCCUUCACCUUCUGUAUCAACUUGAUUCUCUCUGGUUUUCCUUUGAAAAACAUCUUGUAUAUUAAGCUUGUGUUGUACCACACUAGUGAAACAAACGUCACUGACAAUAUAGGAGCAGUUGCAGUAUCAAGAAGGUGCCCAGCACAGCUCAGAACUGUUUCCAAUGGUGUCUCUAACUUCAUAGUUGCUGCACUGACCAAGUGGGAAUAUGAUGGCCCAGACAGAAACUUGCUAUGGCUGAUUCUGCUUCAUUGGCUGCAAGGAUUUGGCACCUGUUGAUUCUGUGCUUCAUUACGAGGAGGUCAUGGACAGCUGCCAAAUCAACGGACUAAGAAAUUAAUUAAGCAACACUGCACUGAGCCUGUGCAUUUUCCACACGCCCAAUUACUAGUGACCUAAAUCGAGGGCAAAAGCCUGGAGUCUGGAGCUCGUUUAGAGAAGUGAUCCUUCCAUAAAACUGCACAUCUCUAUCUUAUGUGGAACGUAUGUCCUAAAAUAAUGUCAGGUAGGGUAAAAGCUAUUAUGAAUCAAGCUGCAACAGUUCGGUGUGUUUCUUACUUACUGUAAGCACGCUGGAGAAGGCCUUUC